CACGGGGGGAGCGAACGUUGUUCGGAAUCACUGGGCGUAAAGGGCGUGUAGGCGGUUCGGUAAGUGGAAUGUGAAAUCCCCCCGGCUUACCCGGGGAACUGCAUCCCAUACUGCUGGACUUGAGUGCGGGAGAGGAUGGAGGAAUUCCUGGUGUAGCGGUGAAAUGCGCAGAUAUCAGGAGGAACACCGGUGGCGAAGGCGGGUCUCUGGGCAAUAACUGACGCUGAGGAGCGAAAGCGUGGGGAGCAAACAGG
rnacentral:rRNA from 1 species